ensembl:processed_transcript
ACUUGAUCUGAAUUGUUUCAAUUGUUUGCAUUGGUGCCUAUUUUCAAAAGGACAUCUACAGAAGAGUUUGAGUUUCUCUCGGUGUAAACUGCAGAUCUGCUCAGGUCCUGAUGAACAGCUUUCGUUUCUCUGCUUCAGGAAUAAUUUGCACAGGUUUUUCAAUGCAAGAUUACCUGUAGGAGUGUUUGAGGAUGAUCUCCUGCAGACGGGACACUCCAGAGAGUCUGUGCUUCUCCAGAGCUCUUGUAGACACUCUUUACACACACUGUGACUACAUGAUAAAAUAACCGCAUCUCUGAAGAUCUCACAACACACGGGACAAGAAAGAUCUUCUGCAGAAACAAGUAUUGAAGACAUGUUCACUGGUUGUGCUCCAGAAAUCUAAACUUUUACAAUGAUUCAGAAAUAAACUUCUCAUAAAUCCUCA